GACGAACGCUGGCGGCGUGCUUAACACAUGCAAGUCGAACGCUGAAGCUCAGCUUUUGUUGGGUGGAUGAGUGGCGAACGGGUGAGUAACACGUGAGUAACCUGCCCCCUUCUUUGGGAUAACGCCCGGAAACGGGUGCUAAUACUGGAUAUUCACUGGUCUUCGCAUGGGGGUUGGUGGAAAGGGUUUUUCUGGUGGGGGAUGGGCUCGCGGCCUAUCAGCUUGUUGGUGGGGUGAUGGCCUACCAAGGCUUUGACGGGUAGCCGGCCUGAGAGGGUGACCGGUCACAUUGGGACUGAGAUACGGCCCAGACUCCUACGGGAGGCAGCAGUGGGGAAUAUUGCACAAUGGGCGAAAGCCUGAUGCAGCGACGCCGCGUGAGGGAUGGAGGCCUCCGGGUUGUGAACCUCUUUCGCUCAUGGUCAAGCCGCAACAAUGGUUGUGGUGAGGGGAGUGGGUAAAGAAGCGCCGGCUAACUACG
rnacentral:rRNA from 1 species